UGGUGUCGGGCGCCUGUGAUCCCAGC
rnacentral:piRNA from 1 species